rnacentral:rRNA from 1 species
UACGUAGGGUGCAGGCGUUAAUCGGAAUUACUGGGCGUAAAGCGUGCGCAGGCGGUUGUGCAAGACCGAUGUGAAAUCCCCGGGCUUAACCUGGGAAUGGCAUUGGUGACUGCACGGCUAGAGUGUGUCAGAGGGGGGUAGAAUUCCACGUGUAGCAGUGAAAUGCGUAGAGAUGUGGAGGAAUACCGAUGGCGAAGGCAGCCCCCUGGGAUAACACUGACGCUCAUGCACGAAAGCGUGGGGAGCAAACAGG